rnacentral:rRNA from 1 species
UUGGGCCUGCCCGGUGANAAUUUUAACGGCCGCAGUUGGAAGCUGUGCUAAGGUAGCGUAAUAAAUUGUCCUUUAAAUGAGGAAGUGAAUGAAUGGCUUGACGUAAAAAAUUCUGUCUCCAAGAAAGUAUAUGAAAUUUUCUUCUUAGUGAAAAGACUGAGAUUUAAUUAAAAGACGAGAAGACCCUGUUGAGCUUGUAAUUAUUAAUAUAUAAGUGUGUUAAAAAAGUUUGGUUGGGGUAACCAGGGAGUAUAAAUAACCUCCCUUAAGUAAUAGAAAUCCAAAAUUUUUGAAAAAAGAAAAAGUUACCGUAGGGAUAACAGCGUUAUCUUUUCUAAGAGAGCAAAUUGAAGAAAAGGAUUGCGACCUCGAUGUUGAAUUAAAGUUUCCAUUAGGUGUAGAGGCUUAAGCGGUAAGACUGUUCGUCUUUUAAAGCUUUACGUGAU